rnacentral:rRNA from 1 species
CAGUAGCCGCGGUAAUACGUAGGUCCCGAGCGUUGUCCGGAUUUAUUGGGCGUAAAGCGAGCGCAGGCGGUUAGAAAAGUCUGAAGUGAAAGGCAGUGGCUCAACCAUUGUAGGCUUUGGAAACUGUUUAACUUGAGUGCAGAAGGGGAGAGUGGAAUUCCAUGUGUAGCGGUGAAAUGCGUAGAUAUAUGGAGGAACACCGGUGGCGAAAGCGGCUCUCUGGUCUGUAACUGACGCUGAGGCUCGAAAGCGUGGGGAGCGAACAGGAUUAGAUACCCCUGUAGUCCCUGUCUCUUAUACA